rnacentral:rRNA from 1 species
AUGGGCGAAAGCCUGAUNCAGCNAUGCCGCGUGAGGGAUGAAGGCCUUCGGGUUGUAAANCUCUUUUAGCAGGGAAGAAAAUGACGGUACCUGCAGAAUAAGCACCGGCUAACUCCGUGCCAGCAGCCGCGGUAAUACGUAGGGUGCAAGCGUUGUUCGGAUUUANUGGGCGUAAAGNGCACGUAGGCGGUUUGNUAAGUCAGAUGUGAAAUCCCGGAGCUCAACUCCGGAACUGCCUUUGAUACUGGCCAGCUUGAGUACGGUAGAGGUGAGUGGAAUUCCNGGUGUAGCGGUGAAAUGCGUAGAUAUCAGGAGGAACACCGGUGGCGAAGGCGGCUCACUGG